UAGGGAAUCUUCCGCAAUGGACGCAAGUCUGACGGAGCAACGCCGCGUGAGUGAAGAAGGAUUUCGGUUCGUAAAACUCUGUUGUUAGAGAAGAACAGCGCAUAGAGUAACUGUUAUGCGUGUGACGGUAUCUAACCAGAAAGCCACGGCUAACUAUGUGCCAGCAGCCGCGGUAAUACGUAGGUGGCAAGCGUUGUCCGGAUUUAUUGGGCGUAAAGCGAGCGCAGGCGGUCAAUUAAGUCUGAUGUGAAAGCCCCCGGCUCAACCGGGGAGGGUCAUUGGAAACUGGUUGACUUGAGUGCAGAAGAGGAGAGUGGAAUUCCAUGUGUAGCGGUGAAAUGCGUAGAUAUAUGGAGGAACACCAGUGGCGAAGGCGACUCUCUGGUCUGUAACUGACGCUGAGGUUCGAAAGCGUGGGUAGCAAACAGG
rnacentral:rRNA from 1 species